rnacentral:rRNA from 1 species
UACGUAGGGUGCAAGCGUUAAUCGGAAUUACUGGGCGUAAAGCGUGCGCAGGCGGUUGUGCAAGACCGAUGUGAAAUCCCCGGGCUUAACCUGGGAAUGGCAUUGGUGACUGCACGGCUAGAGUGUGUCAGAGGGGGGUAGAAUUCCACGUGUAGCAGUGAAAUGCGUAGAGAUGUGGAGGAAUACCGAUGGCGAAGGCAGCCCCCUGGGACAACACUGACGCUCAUGCACGAAAGCGUGGGGAGCAAACAGG